GCGAACGGGUGAGUAACACGUAAGCAACCUACCCUAAAGACGAGGAUAACCAUUGGAAACAGUGGCUAAGACUGGAUAGGAAGAUAAAAGGCAUCUUUUAUCUUUUAAAAGACCUAGUAAUAGGUAUGCUUUAGGAGGGGCUUGCGCCAUAUUAGUUAGUUGGUAGGGUAAUGGCCUACCAAGACGAUGAUGUGUAGCUGGACUGAGAGGUUGAACAGCCACAUUGGGACUGAGACACGGCCCAAACUCCUACGGGAGGCAGCAGUAGGGAAUUUUCGGCAAUGGAGGAAACUCUGACCGAGCAACGCCGCGUGAAUGACGAAGUACUUCGGUAUGUAAAGUUCUUUUAUCAAGGAAGAAAAGCAAAUGGCGAACCAUUUGUUUGCCGGUACUUGAUGAAUAAGCCCCGGCUAAUUAUGUGCCAGCAGCCGCGGUAAGACAUAAGGGGCAAGUGUUAUCCGGAAUUAUUGGGCGUAAAGGGUGCGUAGGCGGUCUAGUAAGUCAGUGGUGUAAUGGCAACGCUUAACGUUGUCCGGCUAUUGAAACUGCUAAACUUGAGUUAGAUAGAGGCGAGUGGAAUUCCAUGUGUAGCGGUAAAAUGCGUAAAUAUAUGGAGGAACACCAGAGGCGUAGGCGGCUCGCUGGGUCUUAACUGACGCUGAGGCACGAAAGCGUGGGGAGCAAACAGGAUUAGAUACCCUGGUAGUCCACGCCGUAAACGAUGAGUACUAAGUGUCGGGUUAAACCGGUACUGAAGUUAACACAUUAAGUACUCCGCCUGAGUAGUACGUACGCAAGUAUGAAACUUAAAGGAAUUGACGGGACUCCGCACAAGCGGUGGAUCAUGUUGUUUAAUUCGAAGAUACCCGAAAAACCUUACCAGGUCUUGACAUGUUUUUGCAAAAUGAUAGUAAUAUCGUGGAGGUUACCAGAAACACAGGUGGUGCAUGGUUGUCGUCAGCUCGUGUCGUGAGAUGUUAGGUUAAGUCCUAAAACGAGCGAAACCCUUAUCGUUAGUUGCCAGCACGUUAUGGUGGGGACUUUAACGAGACUGCCAAUGAUAAAUUGGAGGAAGGUGAGGAUCACGUCAAAUCAGCAUGCCCCUUAUGACCUGGGCUACAAACGUGAUACAAUGGCUGUUACAAAGGGUAGCUGAAACGCAAGUUCUUGGCCAAUCCCCAAAAACAGUCCCAGUCCGGAUUGAAGUCUGCAACUCGACUUCAUGAAGUUGGAAUCGCUAGUAAUCGCGAAUCAGCAUGUCGCGGUGAAUACGUUCUCGGGGUUUGUACACACCGCCCGUCAAACCACGAAAGUUGGCAAUACCCCAAAACGGUAGCCUAACUCGUUUAUUCGAGAGGGCGCCGUCUAAGGUAGGGUCGAUGAUUGGGGUUAAGUCGUAACAAGGUAUCCCUACCGGAAGGUGGGGAUGGAUCACCUCC
rnacentral:rRNA from 1 species